UACGGAGGGUGCGAGCGUUGUCCGGAAUGACUGGGCGUAAAGGGCGCGUAGGCGGCCUGAUAAGUACGGGGUGAAAUCCUGCGGCUUAACCGCAGGGCUGCCUUCUAAACUGUCAGGCUUGAGCACAGUAGAGGCAGGUGGAAUUCCCGGUGUAGCGGUGGAAUGCGUAGAGAUCGGGAAGAACAUCAGUGGCGAAGGCGGCCUGCUGGGCUGUUGCUGACGCUGAGGCGCGACAGCGUGGGGAGCAAACAGG
rnacentral:rRNA from 1 species